rnacentral:rRNA from 1 species
GCUUACGGCCAUAUCAUUUUGAAAGCACCGGUUUUCAUCCGAUCACAGAAGUUAAGCAAUGUCGAGCCUAGUGAGUACUCAGAUUGGUGACCGUUUGCGAAAACUAAAUGUUGUAAGCG